rnacentral:rRNA from 1 species
CCGGCGCACGGGUGCGUAACGCGUAUGCAAUCUGCCUUUCACAGAGGGAUAGCCCAGAGAAAUUUGGAUUAAUACCUCAUAGUAUUACGACUCGGCAUCGAGAUGUAAUUAAAGUCACAACGGUGAAAGAUGAGCAUGCGUCCCAUUAGCUAGUUGGUAAGGUAACGGCUUACCAAGGCAACGAUGGGUAGGGGUCCUGAGAGGGAGAUCCCCCACACUGGUACUGAGACACGGACCAGACUCCUACGGGAGGCAGCAGUGAGGAAUAUUGGACAAUGGGCGCAAGCCUGAUCCAGCCAUGCCGCGUGCAGGAUGACGGUCCUAUGGAUUGUAAACUGCUUUUGUACGAGAAGAAACACUCCUAUGUAUAGGAGCUUGACGGUAUCGUAAGAAUAAGGAUCGGCUAACUCCGUGCCAGCAGCCGCGGUAAUACGGAGGAUCCAAGCGUUAUCCGGAAUCAUUGGGUUUAAAGGGUCCGUAGGCGGUUUAGUAAGUCAGUGGUGAAAGCCCAUCGCUCAACGGUGGAACGGCCAUUGAUACUGCUGAACUUGAAUUAUUAGGAAGUAACUAGAAUAUGUAGUGUAGCGGUGAAAUGCUUAGAUAUUACAUGGAAUACCAAUUGCGAAGGCAGGUUACUACUAAUGGAUUGACGCUGAUGGACGAAAGCGUGGGGAGCGAACAGGAUUAGAUACCCUGGUAGUCCACGCCGUAAACGAUGGAUACUAGCUGUUGGAAGCAAUUUCAGUGGCUAAGCGAAAGUGAUAAGUAUCCCACCUGGGGAGUACGUUCGCAAGAAUGAAACUCAAAGGAAUUGACGGGGGCCCGCACAAGCGGUGGAGCAUGUGGUUUAAUUCGAUGAUACGCGAGGAACCUUACCAAGGCUUAAAUGUAGAUUGACCGAUUUGGAAACAGAUCUUUCGCAAGACAAUUUACAAGGUGCUGCAUGGUUGUCGUCAGCUCGUGCCGUGAGGUGUCAGGUUAAGUCCUAUAACGAGCGCAACCCCUGUUGUUAGUUGCCAGCGAGUCAAG